GUAAAUAUAGUUUAACCAAAACAUUAGAUUGUGGGUCUAAUAAUAAAAGCUAAACCCUUUUUAUUUACC
rnacentral:tRNA from 1 species